rnacentral:rRNA from 1 species
GUCUUUUAGAUAAAAAUUAAAAGUCUAGUCUGCCCAAUGAUUUUAUUGAAUGGCCGCAGUAAAUUGACUGUGCGAAGGUAGCAUAAUAAUUAGUCUUUUAAUUGAAGGCUUGUAUGAAUGAUUGAAUGAAAUAUUUACUUUAUUAAUAAAAUCAUUAUAAUUUAAUCUUUAGGUUAAAAAGCCUAAAUACUUAAGUGGGACGAGAAGACCCUAUAGAGUUUUAAAGUAUUAUCAUUAAUAUAACCUUAGAAUUAUAUAUUUAUAUUAAUGUUUAUAUAUUUUUAUGUUGGGGUGACAUUAAAAAAUUAUUAACUUUUAAUAUAUAUUACAUUUAUAUAUGUCUAUAUUGAUCCAAUAUAAUUUUGAUUUAGAAGAAAAAAUUACCUUAGGGAUAACAGCGUUAUUGUUUUUUAGAGUUCAUAUCAAUAAGAUAGUUUGCGACCUCGAUGUUGGAUUAAGAAUAUAGUUUGGAGCAAAAUCUAAAUUUUUAGGUCUGUUCGACCUUUAAAUUCUU